rnacentral:rRNA from 1 species
UACGUAGGGCGCAAGCGUUAUCCGGAAUUAUUGGGCGUAAAGAGCUCGUAGGCGGUCUGUCGCGUCGGCUGUGAAAUCCCGAGGCUCAACCUCGGGUCUGCAGUCGAUACGGGCAAACUAGAGUAUUGCAGGGGAGACUGGAAUUCCUGGUGUAGCGGUGAAAUGCGUAGAUAUCGAGAGGAACACCUGCGGCGAAGGCGGGUAGCUGGGCCGACACUGACGCUGAUGCGCGAAAGCCAGGGGAGCGAACGGG